rnacentral:rRNA from 1 species
GACGUAGGGCGCGAGCGUUGUCCGGAUUUAUUGGGCGUAAAGAGCUCGUAGGCGGCUACGCACGUCCGUUGUGAAAUCGCCCGGCUCAACUGGGCGGGGUCAGCGGAUACGGCGCGGCUGGAGCAAGCUAGGGGGCAAUGGAAUUCCCGGUGUAGUGGUGGAAUGCGUAGAUAUCGGGAGGAACACCAGUGGCGAAGGCGGUUGCCUGGAGCUUUGCUGACGCUGAUGCGCGAAAGCGUGGGGAGCGAUCCGG